rnacentral:rRNA from 1 species
AGACAGCAGCAGCCGCGGUAACACGAAGGGUGCAAGCGUUACUCGGAAUUACUGGGCGUAAAGCGUGCGUAGGUGGUGGUUUAAGUCCGUUGUGAAAGCCCUGGGCUCAACCUGGGAAUUGCAGUGGAUACUGGGUCACUAGAGUGUGGUAGAGGAUAGUGGAAUUUCCGGUGUAGCAGUGAAAUGCGUAGAGAUCGGAAGGAACAUCUGUGGCGAAGGCGACCACCUGGACUAAUACUGACACUGAGGUGCGAAAGCGUGGGGAGCAAACAGGAUUAGAUACCCCCGUAGUCCCUGUCUCUUAUAC